CCAGCAUCAGUGCCUUGAGGAGCAAAGGGACGCUGGACCUGGGCCAGUGGAAGCUUCUAAGGAUUCAUCAUGGCAGUCAUACCACAAUUAGACAUGCAUUUGGGCUCAGCUGCUACACAAAAUUAAAUUAAAGAGAAGAUGGCCAGCCUGGCAAAGGGAAACCAGCUACCCCAUGGAAAUAAGAAGGCAUCUCAGGCUUCCUGAGAGCCUUUCAUGUCAUCAUCUGCAAACACCCAGCUAAUUAUGAUUGAAGCAUAUGGCCAGCCAUGACUUGUGCACAAGAAGUGAUACAGAGACAUCGUUGAAGGACAGUCACAUUGACACAGGGCUUCAUGAAUUACAAGAGCACACUUUGUGUGCCUUUACGUGUUAGAUCUUCACAUCUGGGAGGUGGAUAG